rnacentral:rRNA from 1 species
AUUGAACGCUGGCGGCAUGCUUUACACAUGCAAGUCGAACGGCAGCACGGGGGCAACCCUGGUGGCGAGUGGCGAACGGGUGAGUAACACGUCGGAACGUGCCCAGUUGUGGGGGAUAACCUAUCGAAAGGUAGGCUAAUACCGCAUGAGCUCGAGAGAGGAAAGCGGGGGACUCGUAAGGGCCUCGCGCGACUGGAGCGGCCGAUGUCCGAUUAGGUAGUUGGUGGGGUAAAGGCCCACCGAGCCGACGAUCUGUAGCUGGUCUGAGAGGACGACCAGCCACACUGGGACUGAGACACGGCCCAGACUCCUACGGGAGGCAGCAGUAAGGAAUAUUGGACAAUGGACGCAAGUCUGAUCCAGCCAUGCCGCGUGAAGGAUUAAGGUCCUCUGGAUUGUAAACUUCUUUUAUAAGGGACGAAAAAAGGCUUUUCUAAGUCGUCUGACGGUACCCUAUGAAUAAGCACCGGCUAACUCCGUGCCAGCCGCCGCGGUAAUAC